UCAUAGUUGUCAAAUCAUGAAUCAAAUCGAGAAUCGAAAUGGUCAUUUUUCGAAUUGUGAAUCGAAUCGAAUCGAAUCGUGAAUCGCUCUGAUUCGGUCAUGACUUCUAUAAUGCAUAGAAACCUAUGCUUAUUGAUUAGGGUAACAACCAUAUAUACUACAAAUGAAAGAUUUAGGCCUAAAUCAAUAAAUACUUUCUUCUAAAUGAUGAUUUGAUAAUAACGUGAAAUAUUAGGUAAGUUGCUUCUAUUGCAACUACCAAGAGAUGAUGAUUCGUAAAGCCUACUUAUGGUUCUUUUUGUACGAAAAGUUAUAAGUACAAAACAAACCCUUAGAAGGUCUAUAGGGUUGUUAUAUUCCAUUUAUCUUCCUCAUUUUCGAUUCACUCUCGUAAUAAAUUUCUUUUUCUUAUUAUCUAUCCAUAUAACAUAGACAAAAGAUGACAUAUAACAAUACUAGACCUUAAAAAAAUAUUUGAACCCUUUUCAAACAACAAAAGAAGCAAAACAAGAGUAAAAAAUGAAUUUCGGAAAUUUUAAGUGAAUCAAACGAUUCACUGAUUCACUUACGAUUCUCAGCUAUUUCCGAUUCGGCAGCCUAUUCGUAUCGAUUACCCACCGAAUCGUAUCGAAUCGUACGAUACGAAUUGUAAAUCACCGAUUCACUUACGAUUCUCAGCUAUUUCCGAUUCGGCAGCCUAUUCGUAUUGAUUACCCACCGAAUCGUACAAUACGAAUUGUGAAUCGUACGAUUCUGACAACUAUGGUUUUAAUCUAUUGAGUAUUUGUAUGCAUGCUUUCAAAUACAAGUUAUACAAUGGUUUUCAUUGAUUGUGGUUGGAGUUCUGAGAUAGAUUAUACUCGUAAGACGGGCCAUGCCAUUAGGCGGCUAGACCGUACUUUUGAGACAGUCCGUGCUAUGAGAUAAUUUAUGCCUUUUAACAACCCAAUAUAUUUUCUAGAUGAUUAUUGCUAUGGUUUGCAAGCCCUAAUAAUAAUCCCUUCUAAUUCGAAUAAUUAAUCUCGCCUAUGCAUGUUGGAGUUACGAGGUCGAGGUGGAUUCGAACCCUAGAUUUUUCUCUCCAAUCGUUACAAACUUUUCAUUUAAUUAUUUCUCUUAGUUUAAUAAAUUCUCCAAAUUCAAACAACCAAACUUCUUUUGCCCGAAUUAAUCUAAAAUUAAUCGAAUUUGUCGUAACUCAGCCAUACUGUCUCCGUCGGAACGAUACUCGGUUUUGACCAUUAUUCUACGGAGUAGUAGUUAAUUUCAAGGCUUUAUAAAUAUAUUUUUGACGCGGAACGACGCGGUCACUCAGACCCUGAACAAAAACCAUGCAAUCUGUGCAAAUGUUCACUGCUUCAAUCCCAUUACUUAUGCUCCAUCUGUGACCAAAACACCUGGCUUCAAUCUCACAUCUCCUGCAUUGAGACCUCCUACUGUGAAACACUCUUUCUUGACCCAGCCCCACAACUACCACCACCCUUGCUUGUCAAUCUUAUCCACCUCAGGCCCGCCUAUCGACCUUCGGUGCCUCCAGCUUGUCCUUGAUCAUUUUGCUUCUCAACCCAUCAAAGUGGACGGAUUAAUGCUUCAUCUACAUCAUUUUGCCCCCCGUCUGAAACAACACAUCACUCCUCAUACACCAAAUGGUCCACAUUAAGCAAACAGAAUCCCAUAUUACUUCUUCACUUGGGGCCUCCUUGAUCCAUAUUGCAAACCAUUGGCCCACUGGAAUUGCAUCUCCCACGUCAAAAUCUAAACCGAGAGGAGAUGCUCUCCACACUCUUUGGCAAAGGAGCAUUGAAGAAAUGAAUUUACUUUGUCAAUAUCUAUACUUCCGGUGUUAAUGUGAAUUUUUAGUCUCGCACUACGUUUAGUAAUGAUAACAUGAAGGCUCUUAAAAACCUGAUAUCAAGCACUUUUCUACUACAAGUAUGGAAUACUAUUGGAGAUACUCUUUGUAAGUCAAAGCAUAUCUCUCAUCAGUUCACCGAAAAAUAUUUAGGUUUACAUACAACCCAUGAAAACAUAGAUAGAGAAUGAGAGAACAGAAUCAGAUCCCAUCCCCAACCCUCCACACAAUAGAGCUUGGUUACAUCUUGAUUCCCAAUACUGAAGGUCGAACGAAUAUGGUAAAAUCAACUGAGAAACACAUGUCAACAAUGGAGUAGUUUCCAAUAGUCUUCACUAGUGUCUCAAAAAAUACAAGUACAUCAAAGGGAAAUCCAGGAAAGAUAUGAUUCUACAGUUCAAUGAUUCUCCAACAGCAAUAAGACUGAAUACUUUAUUUAGUGAGGAAUUGUCCACAUAAAUAUGUGUAUGAAUACCCAAGCACAAAGGUUUAGUGCUUGAUGAAAUAGCGUUCACUAUAAAUAAGAAUAAUCUGAACACCAAGCACAAGGUUUGGUGCACUGGCGAUCUUUCUCUUAUUUUGAUGACUUGAUAAAUGAUUGUGGUUGCUUAUUCUAUCAAUAAGAAUUGGCCAAAGAAUGGCUACUUGAUAGUAUAAAUAUCUAGAUUAAUGGGUAGCUCAUUUGGAUCAAAAAUCCUAUUGUGGCAACUUUUGUCACA